GACGAACGCUGGCGGCGUGCUUAACACAUGCAAGUCGAACGGAAAGGCCCUGCGUUUGUGGGGUGCUCGAGUGGCGAACGGGUGAGUAACACGUGAGUAACCUGCCCUUGACUUUGGGAUAACUUCAGGAAACUGGGGCUAAUACCGGAUAUGAGCUCCUGCUGCAUGGUGGGGGUUGGAAAGUUUCGGCGGUUGGGGAUGGACUCGCGGCUUAUCAGCUUGUUGGUGGGGUAGUGGCUUACCAAGGCUAUGACGGGUAGCCGGCCUGAGAGGGUGACCGGCCACAUUGGGACUGAGAUACGGCCCAGACUCCUACGGGAGGCAGCAGUGGGGAAUAUUGCACAAUGGGCGGAAGCCUGAUGCAGCAACGCCGCGUGCGGGAUGACGGCCUUCGGGUUGUAAACCGCUUUCGCCUGUGACGAAGCGUGAGUGACGGUAAUGGGUAAAGAAGCACCGGCUAACUACGUG
rnacentral:rRNA from 1 species